GACGAACGCUGGCGGCGUGCUUAACACAUGCAAGUCGAACGGAAAGGCCCUGCCUUUGUGGGGUGCUCGAGUGGCGAACGGGUGAGUAACACGUGAGUAACCUGCCCUUGACUUUGGGAUAACUUCAGGAAACUGGGGCUAAUACCGGAUAGGAGCGCCUGCUGCAUGGUGGGGGUUGGAAAGUUUCGGCGGUUGGGGAUGGACUCGCGGCUUAUCAGCUUGUUGGUGGGGUAGUGGCUUACCAAGGCUUUGACGGGUAGCCGGCCUGAGAGGGUGACCGGCACCAUUGGGACGGAGAUACGGCCCAGACUCCUACGGGAGGCAGCAGUGGGGAAUAUUGCACAAUGGGCGGAGGCCUGAUGCAGCACCGCCGCGUGCGGGAUGACGGCCUUCGGGUGGAAAACCGUUUUCGCCUGUGACGAAGCGUAAGUGACGGUAAUGAGUAAAGAAGCACCGGCUAACUACGUG
rnacentral:rRNA from 1 species